UCUUCGGAGUCUGGGGUAGUCGCGAAGAUCCCGAACGAGCCCCCAAAAUGAAAGAUCCCUGAAGAGAGACCCUUUCUAAAGUCGAGGGAAAUCGCGGACCCCAGACACAGAGAGACCA
rnacentral:pre_miRNA from 14 species